AAAAAGACUACCUUUACCCGGCCACAGUGAUGAUGAGGGCAGCUGGCGGGGGGAGAGGGAACCCUCACGGAUCCUCCCGCGGCUACAGGAAGCCCCCCGAAGGGGCUACAGAUGGUACCCAGCAACCAGCAGCAUUGGCUAUGAGAGAGGUACAAGCAUUCGAUCACAUCAGGGAGAUGGACAGAGUUUUAACAGAGAAAGAAACAGCAAUAGCCAAACAGUAGCAAAAGUUGGAUUCCAGAUGAUCGACUCCACAUGUAUUUUCCUGCGACUGUAGAAAAUCCUUAAAAGCGUUUAAAAGCUUCACAGUUCAUCUUUAGAAAUGAUCGGAACAGCCUAUUUUAAAGAAUCCAGAAUAAAAAUCAAGAGCAAACAAAA